UCUGGGCGUCGCACCAAUUUUUGUGGACUCAUCUAGCGGCUGGGCCACACAGCAACACACACGGCUCUCAAAAAAGGCUGCUGAUUGAUUGCUCAUUUGGACCCAUUCAAAUUUCAGACGAAUUAAGCACGCCAUGAUUUAUUUUGAAAGCACCUGACGCUUGCUAUUUGGAACAAUUUUCAAUUAUUUGUAACGGUUGGUCGCAUUUUCAACAAAUUUUCGGCUCUCUUGUGAAUGAAUAUCGCUGGAAUGAUAAUGAUGCGUGAGGUGCAUGAUAUGCAAUAAACUAACCCGUGGAAAAUGCUACAAAUUCUCGACUUUGGCCAUAAAAUUGUGAUGCAGUUUGUAAUUAGUCCAAAGGGCCGGCAGCAGAAUUCCUCGCGGGCGCAUCAUUAGGCGGCUAAUUUGUACGCGGCGCGCGUUCCCGGAAUAAUUUAUGACAUCUUAUUUCAAUUAAGUGUGAUUGAUAUCACACCGAUUCCCGAAAUCACGGCAGAGGGACGCAUUCACCUGUGCCGGUCUGACCGGUCGGUCGCGGCGUCAAAAAUAUUACGAGGCACACCGCCGCAAGCGUCUCCCAUUUUCACGAGGGAAAUUCAGUGAAUCCACUUUUUUGUUCCCUUACCGCUUACCGCGGGAUGCUUCGAUCGCAAAGCGAACGCAUCUGGUUUGGCGGCUUCGUGUAAUUAUGCAAAUCGUGAUUCGCAAAAGGCAUUCCGCGUGCGAAUAUUUUGCACUAAAUCCACGCGUUGAAUUCUCUGGCCGAGAACCGUAAUUUUUAUAGUAAAUGUUUGCGGCAUGAUGCGCCUGAAAACUACUCUUAAAUUAUCUGCAUUCGAUCAGAAGAUAUUUCUAUUUAUAUAUCGAUACCCCGCAGGUUUCAUUAAUUUCCAUUGUAUUUAAAUGGGAAGGAUAUUUGAAUUGCAAAAGAAAACAAACGCUUCCUUACCUGUUCUGGUCCUCAGGGCAGCUGUUUUCGUCGAAGGUGACGAUUCCCGCCGCUACCCCGGGUGGCUCGAGGUCUGAGUCGGCGCCGAGCAGGACGCUGUUGGCUGCCAGGUUGAAGAGUCGCUUUGGCAAGGGGACCUUGGUCCUGCGCUCGCCGUCGCCGCCCCGAACCCUCGUGUAGGCCACCCCCAACAACACCAAACACGCUCUGUUGACGCCGGGCUCGUCGUCGGCGUCCCUCGCCGGGGGAAGCACCCUGAACCUGAAGCGGUAGUCGAGGUUGACCCUGACGACGGCGUGGUACUCGGUGGCCGUGGCGUUCUGCGGCAGCGACUCGGACAUGAUCCGCACAGUGCAGGUGAGCAGGUCGUCCCUGAGUGCGCAGUCCGUGCGCUCGAGCGGCCGCAGGUGCGCCCUGCUGCGGUGCAGGUCGUCGCACACGGCGUCCAGCGUCGUCGCCGCCACCCCCGGCGCCAGCAGCGAGAUGAUGAUGUUGAAGAUGAAGAAGUACAGCUUGUCGGCCAUCCUCUCACAUGACAGCGGCGCGGCGCGUUGCGAUUUGCACCACGCUCCGAAGCAGAUUAAGCGUGGCUUAGACGGUCAUCCUGAGUCAAGGGCAUCCACUGCUACGCCGGCUCGAGAGGCGCAUGCGUCGCCCAGAUGUGUGCUGCGUUGAGUUGAGACCCUGUUGGCCAGGGCCCCUCCUCCUUUGUGUACUCGCGUUUGCCGCCCAUGGAAGAGAGAGAGAGAGAGAGAAAAAAGCAGCGGAGCCAGCGAGCGUACUCUGGAUGUUGUGGUUCUGCCGCCGCUGCCGCUGGAGCGAUCAUUAAUUUUUUUCUUCUAUGCUUCAUUGCUGAGCACCUAUUGUUAUGUUGAACUCACGACUCUCGGGCCGUGCCGAUGAUGGGGCCUCCACCUCGCGGGCUCCUCUCUUUCUUCUUCGCCUCAUGCUCGCUGGCGCAACGCGUAUUUCCACUCCAACGGUCGAGAUCGUGCGCUUGGAGAUUUAAAUUUUAAAUAGACACUUUUAUGGGAAUCAUUUGGUAAUAACCGUUCAUCAAUACAAUCCCAAACAUCGCGAUCAAAGUGCUUAUUUUAACUACUGGUCACUUAUCUUCAAUAAUAUGAGCUUUAAUUACUAAUAAAAAAGGAAAUUAAAUUUGCUUAUAGAAUUAUAAUAAAAAUUUCAUUUACUAUUGCUAUUAUGCAGUGCAAUUAAAGAAAUACAUAAAUUACAAGCAAGAAUGGAUGGUCAUGCUAAAGAAAAAACUAUGAAUCACAUGGUAAUCUGAGCUGUAAUUACAAACGAUCAAUGAACUAUCCUUGUGUGUUAUAAUAAAUACUCAUUAUAAUGAUAGCGGAUAAAGGUUUCUAUUUCCAAAAAUUUUCAAUGUUGUAAUAAAGAGAAAAUUUUUCAAAUAUUUUUAAAAUCAAUUACUUUCUUCACCGUGCUUUUUUCAACCUGACAUGCAGUUUUAUGUUCAGGGAAACUACGUGAUUACAAAAGGUAACUUCCUUCUUAUUUUCAUGUUCAUGCCUUUUUAUUCAAGGUUCGCAAAACCCCGCAUUUUCCGGAAAGAAACCUACUGGAUCGCAAUAAAAUGUUUUUACGAUACUUUCACAACCUUGUACAUUUUCCGAAACAAGCAAUUGUGUCGUCAGAAAAUAUCAUAAAUGGUCGGAUGGCCAAAAUAUAAAUUCUAAAAAAUAAAUUCUAGUGUGCUACUGAUUUCAGAAGAAUAUGAUUUUUUUAUAAUUUUAAUUUAACUGUUAAUUCUCUGUGUUGUUUGGUGUUAAAGAUGAUCUAUCAGUUUUCGGAAACCUCGAGAAAAUGUGGAAAAAUCCCUAAAUUAGUGUUCAAUUGCGCAUGGUGAAUUAGGUGAUCUAGAUCUGUUUUAUCGCAUUCAUUUUAAACUGGUUUGGAGACAUUUAAUGUUAGUAAAAAGUAAACCAUUCUCGUCAUCUGUUUCAAUGACCUCUAACGAAGUCAAGUGCUUAACAAAAAGCGCAUCAAGUGAAGUGACCCGAACUGCUCAAGUGCAUCUCUUAAAUGUCAUGGAAGUGGAUUGAAGAUUUGUAUGCGUUAUGGGUGUGUGGGUGCAGCUCUCUCGCCGUGUCUUUUUCUAUCGUGCGUAUGCGGAGAGCAGAAUCAAGAAGCCCUCAUUUAAAUGGAGCAGAUGAGAACGUUCCCACCAACUCGCAUACGAAUAAUGCGCCCUUGUUUUCUUUUUAGAGGGGCCUUGUAAAAAUAAUCAGCGAGAUAUAUAUUACUUGAGAGGCCGGGAUAAAAAAGUGCGCAGUAUGUGCUUUACGCGCGGAGCUGAAAUUCAAACAGUAAUUACUCCUCGUCCGAAGAAGAAUUGUGGGCAUUGUGGUAAAGUUUCUCUAAGCCCUUAAUGAUAAUUAUUGUAAUUUUUGUACACAAUGCUGCCGAACGAAUUAAUGAAAUUCGGAGUGGUUUGCCCUUUGUUCAUUGUGUGCGUGCUGGGCUUAUAAAGUUUGGGAGAAAUUCUCGGCUAAUAUUCACAGCCUUGAUUUUUAAUGAGAGAGGAUUUAAAUUAGUUGAAUUAUAUAACACCAAAACUUUGAUUUGGAUAAUAAUAUAUAUAGCACACCACACACAAUAAGAAUUUUUAUUAUCCUAUUUAAUAUGUUUUUGUAUUAUGCUUUAAUACUCCUUUUGUAGCUUUUAUUUCUUUUAUUAUGUCUAAAAUAAACAAUUAUUGUUUCUGAUUGAUUUGCCAUAAUUUCCUCGGAAAUCAUUUUGUUUCUGCAGAGUAAAUAUAUCUUAGCUUCAGAUUCUAAACUAGACUUAAAAAUAGCCUUUUAAUAACUCAUAUUCCUAUUUAAAAUUAGAGAGAGUAUUAAAGAGAAUCAAAAUGCUGUAAAUGGGAAAUUUUUACAAACUUCGCAAUUUUGGUUUGUAAUAUAAUUCCGAUUUAGUUAACCGAUUUUACGCCAGUGGGAUAAAAUGGCAGUUAAAUUAUUCAAAUCAACAGUAAAACCAACGAUUUCAAGCAGUAAUGGUUAUAUUAAGAAUUGUUUAAUUUUUGGAGAUUUUGUUUUCAGACAAGUA